UACGUAGGUGGCGAGCGUUGUCCGGAUUUAUUGGGUUUAAAGGGUGCGUAGGCGGCUUAUUAAGUCAGUGGUGAAAGCUCCAUGCUUAACGUGGAAAUUGCCAUUGAUACUGAUGAGCUUGAGUAGAUUUGAAGUGGGCGGAAUGUGUCGUGUAGCGGUGAAAUGCUUAGAUAUGACACAGAACACCGAUUGCGUAGGCAGCUCACUAAACUCUUACUGACGCUGAGGCACGAAAGCAUGGGGAUCAAACAGG
rnacentral:rRNA from 1 species